UACGUAGGGUGCAAGCGUUGUCCGGAAUUAUUGGGCGUAAAGAGCUCGUAGGCGGUCUGUCGCGUCUGCUGUGAAAACCCGAGGCUCAACCUCGGGCCUGCAGUGGGUACGGGCAGACUAGAGUGCGGUAGGGGAGAUUGGAAUUCCUGGUGUAGCGGUGGAAUGCGCAGAUAUCAGGAGGAACACCAAUGGCGAAGGCAGAUCUCUGGGCCGUAACUGACGCUGAGGAGCGAAAGCAUGGGGAGCGAACAGG
rnacentral:rRNA from 1 species